UGGCGAACGGGUGAGUAACGCGUGAGGAACCUGCCUCAAAGAGGGGGACAACAGUUGGAAACGACUGCUAAUACCGCAUAAGCCCACGGCUCGGCAUCGAGCAGAGGGAAAAGGAACAAUCCGCUUUGAGAUGGCCUCGCGUCCGAUUAGCUAGUUGGUGAGGUAACGGCCCACCAAGGCGACGAUCGGUAGCCGGCCUGAGAGGGUGAACGGCCACAUUGGGACUGAGACACGGCCCAA
rnacentral:rRNA from 1 species